rnacentral:snoRNA from 1 species
AGACCGUGGUGUGGACAACAUCUCAACAACUCCUUGUACCUCUCCCAAGCAUCAUAUAUGCUCUCGUCUUUCAUCUGCACAAAAGAAGAAAUGUCAUUCCUUAAUUU